rnacentral:ncRNA from 2 species
CGACGAACCUCUGGAGAGCCUCCAUCCGUGGAGCACCGAAGGAGCAACCCGCCCGUGUCCUCGCAGGGAACCGGGGCGGCGAAACUCUCAGGUAAAAGGACAGAGUGCCACGC